rnacentral:lncRNA from 1 species
UUGUUUUAAGACUUUAUUUUAUAAUUACAAUUAAAAAAAACAGUAAUGGAGAUAUAAACAGUGACUGAGAGAAACUACCUAGGGGAAUGCAGGGCAGAGAAAAGAGCAAAAUGGUGGAAAAGCAAGUGGACUUUAUGUGACAGUCAUGGGGUGGGGAAUUUUGAGCUGAUAGAGGUUGUCUGGGUUGAUCUCAAACUAGGUACACUGGCCUGAGGUAGAUGACCUUUGGUUAAGAAAAGUUCCUGGAGGAUUUUAAUUUUUAAAUAUUUUUUUUUCAGGACAAGAUUCCUCUGUGUAGCACUGGCUGUCCUGGAACUGGCUCUGUAUACAAGGCUGGCCUAGAACUCAGAGAUCUGCCUGUCUCUGCCUCUCUGCUGGAAUUAAAGCUAAGAGUGUGUGUGUGUGUGUGUGUGUGUGUGUGUGUGUGUGUGUGUGUGUGUGUGUGUGGAGAGAGAGAGAGAGAGAGAGAGAGAGAGAAAUGAGAAUGAGAAUAUAUAUGUGACCACCAGCCAGCAGGUUCCUGGAAAACUAAUCCAGAUUCUUGGCAAACAGCAGGCACUUUAAGAAAUCUGCUUUCCUAGUAAACAGAAACCUUUAGGCUUGUUUCCAGACAACAAUCCUCUGUUUACCCAAAAUCCUUCUGUUUAGGACACUGUCACUAGCACUGCCAUUUUGGAGGCAGCAGGGUUUUAGACCUGACAGAAUUUGUAUUUUGUUGUUGUUUAGUUGGUUGACUUUUGAGACAAGGUCUCACUCUGUAGCCCUGGCUGACUAGGAAUUUGCUUUGCUUUGUAGACCAGGUUGGCCUGGAAUUAACAGCGAGCUGCCUGCCUCUACCUCCCUAAUUCUGGGAUUAAAGACACGGACCACUGUUCCCACUCCUCACUGCAGUUUUUUAAAUUACUCAUUUUUGUGUAUCUGUAGAUAUGUACAUAUCUACAAGUACCACAGUAUGCUUGUGGAGUUCCAAGGACAACCAAUCUGUCUCUCCCAGGAUGAAAUUCAGGUCUUUAGUCUUAGCAGAAAGCACCUUUACCUGCUGAACCAUCUCUC